UGAAAACAGUGAGAUCGACAUGAAACGCUCAAUACAACUCAUUAGUACUGUAGCUAUCGGUAGACCUAAAUCACAGGGUGACCAACUAUUUUUGACUCAUUCAGAUAGAUAUCGACCGGUGCUUUUUACAAGAAUUACUUGGAAUCUACAAGUAUACGUAUGCAACCGAAUUAUAAUAGUGUUACUUUUGCGUUUAGUUCUAACUCCGAAAAUUCCAUAUCCGGAAACGGGCAUUUGACUUGGAAUAUCAUUUGGUUAUCUCUAAUACUACUUUUAUCGUCCAACUAGACUUAAAUGUAUAUCAAAUUAUCAGAUAUUAAGAUAGGUUCAAAGUUGAUCUGUCAUUUAGUUUAGCAUUUAUUGCCAAGCAUCGAUAACAAGUCGAUAGGUUUUACUGAAUAUCAAUUGCUUGACAAACUUUUCUUAUUUGGGAUUUGUUUCAUAGAUUUCAAAUAUCAGUAUCUUCAAUGACAAAUCCUUAAAAAAAAAAUAAAAAAAAAAAAUUUAUUAAAAACUAAAUGACUAGAACAAUUUUGCCAAGUUUUUUUUUUUGGUUUCUCAAAUCAAAUUUUUAAGCAAGUUUUCCCCUAAUCCAACCACCAAGCACCCACCCACCCCCUCUUAAAGACAC